rfam:OM182 bacterium BACL3 MAG-120619-bin32 contig04708_1_120619-bin32, whole genome shotgun sequence.
GCGCGUAUGGCGAAAUUGGUAGACGCGCAAGCUUGAGGGGCUUGUGUUCGAAAGGAUGUGCUGGUUCGAAUCCAGUUACGCGCA